rnacentral:piRNA from 2 species
UAAUGUUGCCUUAUGCUGUCUGUG